UACGUAGGGGGCCAGCGUUGUCCGAAGUUACUGGGCGUAAAGCGCGUGUAGGCGGGGCUCUAAGUGGGUUGUGAAAGGCGCGGGCUCAACCGGCGCACUGCCUCUCAUACUGGGGGACUUGAGUGCGGGAGGGGCGGGUGGAAUUCUUGGUGUAGCGGUGAAAUGCGUAGAUAUGAAGAGGAACACCCGUGGCGAAGGCGGCCCGCUGGCCCGGAACUGACGCUGAGACGCGAAAGCCGGGGGAGCGAACAGG
rnacentral:rRNA from 1 species